UUGCCUCAGUAACGGCGAGUGAAGCGGCAAUAGCUCAAAUUUGAAAUCUGGCUCUUUCAGAGUCCGAGUUGUAAUUUGUAGAGGAUGCUUCGGCUUACGCCCCGGUCUAAGUUCCUUGGAACAGGACGUCACAGAGGGUGAGAAUCCCGUACGUGGCCGGCGGCCUCCGCCAUGUGAAGCUCCUUCGACGAGUCGAGUUGUUUGGGAAUGCAGCUCUAAAUGGGAGGUAAAUUUCUUCUAAAGCUAAAUACUGGCCAGAGACCGAUAGCGCACAAGUAGAGUGAUCGAAAGAUGAAAAGCACUUUGGAAAGAGAGUUAAAAAGUACGUGAAAUUGUUGAAAGGGAAGCGCUUGCAACCAGACUUGCCCGCGGUUGUUCAGCCGGUCCUUCGGCCGGUGCACUCUUCCGCGGUCAGGCCAGCAUCAGUUUAGGCGGUCGGAUAAAGGCUCUAGGAAUGUAGCUCUCUUCGGGGAGUGUUAUAGCCUGGGGCGCAAUACGGCCCGCCUGGACUGAGGUCCGCGCUUCGGCUAGGAUGCUGGCGUAAUGGUUGUAAGCGGCCCGUCUUGAAACACGGACCAAGGAGUCUAACAUCUAUGCGAGUGUUUGGGUGUCAAACCCGUGCGCGUAAUGAAAGUGAACGGAGGUGGGAACCUUAGGGUGCACCAUCGACCGAUCCUGAUGUCUUCGGAUGGAUUUGAGUAAGAGCAUAGCUGUUGGGACCCGAAAGAUGGUGAACUAUGCCUGAAUAGGGUGAAGCCAGAGGAAACUCUGGUGGAGGCUCGCAGCGGUUCUGACGUGCAAAUCGAUCGUCAAAUUUGGGUAUAGGGGCGAAAGACUAAUCGAACCAUCAGCAGCGCUAGGUGGUCAAGAGGCGGCUGAAAGUGCUUGCCUAGUCCCUCCAUUCGGGGCGACACCGUCAAAUUGCGGGGACUUCCUUAGAGCCUGAACUACCGCGGCCCGUCGAAAGACGCGGCGCAGCACCGGGGUAAUGACCUAGGGUACGGUAAUAACGUUCAGGAUUGGUAAAUCCGCAGCCAAGUCCUAAGUCGGCCUCUAAGGUUGAUAUGGAUGCAGUUCACAGACUAGAUGUCGGUGGGUGCGGCCUCGAAGGCCGUGCUUAAGGUAUAGUCGGACCCCCGUGGAAACGCGGGCGGCAGGCCAAAGUCUCCAGGCGGGUGGGCUCCUUAGCUGGGGCGCCUCGGGGACCCGAAGCCUGUCGGGAGAGUCUCGGGCU
rnacentral:ncRNA from 1 species